rnacentral:rRNA from 1 species
UCGAACCCGAAUUAUUAGUUUUGAUCCUUGGCUCAGGAUGAACGCUCCCCUCAAAAAGCUUAACACAUGCAAGUCGAGGGGCAGCAUGGUCUUACCUUGCUAAGACUGAUGGCGACCGGCGCACGGGUGCGUAACGCGUAUGCAACUUGCCUCACAGAGGGGGAUAACCCGUCGAAAGACGGACUAAUACCGCGUACACUCCAUCUUGGGCAUCCAAGGUAUAGGAAAAGAAAUUCGCUGUGAGAUAGGCAUGCGUCCCAUUAGCUAGUUGGUGAGGUAACGGCUCACCAAGGCAACGAUGGGUAGGGGAACUGAGAGGUUGAACCCCCACACCGGUACUGAGACACGGACCAGACUUCUACGGGAGGCAGCAGUGAGGAAUAUUGGUCAAUGGGCGAGAGCCUGAACCAGCCAAGUCGCGUGAAGGAUGACUGUCUUAUGGAUUGUAAACUUCUUUUGUAGGGGAAUAAAGAACAGUACGUGUACUGUAGUGAAUGUACCCUACGAAUAAGCAUCGGCUAACUCCGUGCCAGCAGCCGCGGUAAUACGGAGGAUGCGAGCGUUAUCCGGAUUUAUUGGGUUUAAAGGGUGCGUAGGCGGCCUGUUUAAGUCAGCGGUGAAAUCUAGGAGCUUAACUCCUAAAUUGCCAUUGAUACUGGCGGGCUUGAGUGUAGAUGAGGUAGGCGGAAUGCGUGGUGUAGCGGUGGAAUGCAUAGAUAUCACGCAGAACUCCGAUUGCGAAGGCAGCUUUACUAGGGUACGACUGACGCUGAUGCACGAAAGCGUGGUAUCAAACAGGAUUAGAUACCCUGUUAGUCCACGCAGUAUACGAUUGAUAACUGGGCGUAUGCGAUAUACA